AGCCUGCCCAGUGACUUAGUUCAACGGCCGCGGUAUCCUAACCGUGCGAAGGUAGCGUAAUCACUUGUUCUUUAAAUGAGGACUAGUAUGAAUGGCAUCACGAGGGCCAUACUGUCUCCUUUUUUUAAUCAGUAAAACUAAUCUCCCCGUGAAGAAGCGGGGAUAAGUAUAUAAGACGAGAAGACCCUAUGGAGCUUUAAACAAACUAACAAUUGUUUCAAAAACUCUACUUUCAGAAAUACCACAAAAAGCAUAACAUUUUGAUUUAAAAUUUUAGACUGGGGUGAUCACGGAGUAAAAAAUAACCUCCAUGCUGAAAGGUAAAAAUCCCUGAGCAAAAAUCCACAACUUCAUGCACUAGAAAACUAACAUAAAUUGACCCAAUAUUUUGAUCAACGAACCAAG
rnacentral:rRNA from 1 species